UACGGAGGAUGCAAGCGUUAUCCGGAAUGAUUGGGCGUAAAGCGUCCGCAGGUGGCUGUGUAAGUCUGCUGUUAAAGAGUGAGGCUCAACCUCAUAAAAGCAGUGGAAACUACACGGCUAGAGUGCGUUCGGGGCAGAGGGAAUUCCUGGUGUAGCGGUGAAAUGCGUAGAUAUCAGGAAGAACACCGGUGGCGAAAGCGCUCUGCUAGGCCGCAACUGAUACUGAGGGACGAAAGCUAGGGGAGCGAAUGGG
rnacentral:rRNA from 1 species